GUUAACAUUCCUUGUGCUGGCAGCUGAACCCAGUAAUGUGUAAGAGUCUCCCAGGUGGUAACGGUUACGGCUUGGCACUAGAAGAGGCCAUUGGUAAAGGUAAAGCCUCAGAUGCAGUGGAAACCCCAGAAUUGAAGGAUCAUGGAGAGAAGUUGAAGCUUAUACCAUAUUGCCAGAUCAGUCCACUGAAGACAGCUUAAAGAGAAGCUGUUGAUGAAAGUGCAGCUUGGUUCCAGCAGGGAUCCUGGUAUUUUGGAGAUGCCAGACCAUGAAGUGACAACCAAGGACAGCAGCAGCAAUGGAGUAGAGCCAACCUGAGCCUAGGAGACAAUCUUUAUUUGCUGCUUGUGGUAGAACAAGAGAAUUAGAACUGCUUAGGCCUUCUGGAGCCCAGCAGGUCAUGACUGAAUCCCAGGUACACUGUUGGACUUUGAUUCUGCUUUGAUUCGAUUGUAACUGUCCCCUGGCUGUUCCUGAAUAAGAAGUACAUAACUCAAUCUUUAAUUUACUAUGGGAGGAUCCAUGGGAUCCUCCAUGGAUAGUAAAGAGGCUUUGAAAUUUUAGAGAAACAAUGCAUAUUUUAGGGAGACUUUGGAUUUUUUUUUUUUUUUUUUUGGUUUUUUUUUGGUUCUUUUUUUUUUUCGGAGCUGGGGACCGAACCCAGGGCCUUGCGCUUCCUAGGCAAGCGCUCUACCACUGAGCUAAAUCCCCAACCCCGACUUUGGAUGUUU
rnacentral:lncRNA from 1 species